GACGAACGCUGGCGGCGUGCCUAAUACAUGCAAGUUGAGCGCUGAAGGUUGGUACUUGUACCGACUGGAUGAGCAGCGAACGGGUGAGUAACGCGUGGGGAAUCUGCCUUUGAGCGGGGGACAACAUUUGGAAACGAAUGCUAAUACCGCAUAAAAACUUUAAACACAAGUUUUAAGUUUGAAAGAUGCAAUUGCAUCACUCAAAGAUGAUCCCGCGUUGCAUUAGCUAGUUGGUGAGGUAAAGGCUCACCAAGGCGAUGAUACAUAGCCGACCUGAGAGGGUGAUCGGCCACAUUGGGAUUGAGACACGGCCCAAACUCCUACGGGAGGCAGCAGUAGGGAAUCUUCGGCAAUGGACGAAAGUCUGACCGAGCAACGCCGCGUGAGUGAAGAAGGUUUUCGGAUCGUAAAACUCUGUUGGUAGAGAAGAACGUUGGUGAGAGUGGAAAGCUCAUCAAGUGACGGUAACUACCCAGAAAGGGACGGCUAACUACGUG
rnacentral:rRNA from 1 species